CAGUAGCCGCGGUAAUACAGAGGGUGCGAGCGUUAAUUGGAUUUACUGGGCGUAAAGCGUGCGUAGGCGGCUUCUUAAGUCGGAUGUGAAAUCCCUGAGCUUAACUUAGGAAUUGCAUUCGAUACUGGGAAGCUAGAGUAUGGGAGAGGAUGGUAGAAUUCCAGGUGUAGCGGUGAAAUGCGUAGAGAUCUGGAGGAAUACCGAUGGCGAAGGCAGCCAUCUGGCCUAAUACUGACGCUGAGGUACGAAAGCAUGGGGAGCAAACAGGAUUAGAUACCCCUGUAGUCCCUGUCUCUUAUAA
rnacentral:rRNA from 1 species